rnacentral:rRNA from 1 species
GACGAACGCUGGCGGCGUGCUUAACACAUGCAAGUCGAACGGAAAGGCCUGCUUUCCCUUGUGGAUUGCGGGUACUCGAGUGGCGAACGGGUGAGUAACACGUGAGUGAUCUGCCCCCAACUUGGGUAUAAGCCUGGGAAACUGGGUCUAAUUCCCGAUAGGACUGCAGGGUGGUGCCUGUGUUGGAAAACGAUUUUCUAGUGGGUGGGGAUGAGCUCGCGGCCUAUCAGCUUGUUGGUGGGGUAAUGGCCUACCAAGGCGGCGACGGGUAGCCGGCCUGAGAGGGUGGACGGCCACAUUGGGACUGAGAUACGGCCCAGACUCCUACGGGAGGCAGCAGUGGGGAAUAUUGCACAAUGGGCGGAAGCCUGAUGCAGCGACGCCGCGUGGGGGAUGACGGCCUUCGGGUUGUAAACUCCUUUCGACCGCGAGGAAGCCACCUGGUUGGAAGGGUGGUGACGGUAGUGGUAGAAGAAGCACCGGCUAACUACGUG